GCCAUCCCCAUUUUCACUCAGGUGUCCCUUGUCACCCCCUCAGUGUCAGGUUGGAUUCUCGUCCCCUCUGUCCAUUUGUGCCCACCCUCCCCCUGUCCCCACUGUCCCCAUUGUCCCCUCCGUGUCCCCAUUGUCCCCUCCGUGUCUCCCCCAGAUCAUGCACGGGGGACUCUUCAGCGAGGACGGUGUCACCCUCGAUGACAUCCGCAAGAUCGAGCGGAACCGGCAGCCCCCGGACUCAGGGCCGAUGUGUGACCUGCUCUGGUCUGACCCCCAGCCCCAGAACGGCCGGUCGGUCAGCAAGCGGGGGGUC